rnacentral:pre_miRNA from 1 species
AGUGGGAUAGCUGGGUCAAAUGGUGGUACAAUUCCAAGUUUUCAAAGGAAUAUCCACACUGCUUUCCAUAUUGGUUGCACCAAUUUGCAGUCCCAUCAGCAGU